GUCGUCAGCUGAGCAGUCUUUGAGAGACUUUUUCUGGCGCGGAAAACGAAAGGCGUAUUCUUGUAGCAAGCAUACCAACCAAUAAGUGAAUUUUUCAGUUAUGUGUGUAAUUUGUGCCACCAAUAGAAGUCGAUAAAAAAUAAUAUUGCAUUAUUGGCGGUCGUUGCGAGGACCAUGCCGAAAGCGACAAGUACGACGCGGACCCCUAGCUCGGGCCGCAGAGAGGAUGAGCCGCUGUGCUUUGGCGUCGUGCUGGACGAAGCAGGUUGACCAGUGCUGGUCCCGGGCGGCGCUGGUGGGCCAGUGCUAAAGCCGUCACGUUCAGUACUCGUACCAGACAGCCCCAACUGGUUACACUCGCAACCGCAUUUGAGUCCGGCGAAAAAGCACUCGAUGACGCAAUUCCGAUCGAACUUGCAGCCGAGUUUGCACGUGUUGUACGCGUACAUGCAUUGCCUCUGAGUGACGCACAGGUUGACCGCGUCUGCGUUGCUGAGGCUCUGGUCGCCUGACAUUCCGUCACAAUUGCAAAUGCAGUUUAACGUGCAUUGGACCUUGCACUUAAAAUUGGUGUCGGGGCACGUGCAGGUUCCUUUUUGGCACUGGAACAAGCACGAUGAGAGCGGGUAAGAACGAUAGAUAAGACUGAUCUUUGGCACUUGCUACGUUCCGUUGUUCUCCAUGGAUCGCAAACUGCGCGAACUGGAUGUUGUCGGUACCCACACCUUGCCGUGCAGCGCAUUGCUGAAACUUCGCGAAGUCGUCCUUCGGAGUGCGGACCGAGCUGAGGCUGUUGUUGAGGGAGAAGUCGGCCAGGAAGGUGGCGUUGAGGAAGGAACUCACGAUGUUCUCGACAGCGGUGCUGCACGAGGACGGGCUUGCGGCCCAGGCGAGGAGCAGCGCCAGCACCACCGGAACGGCCACCAUCGCGCUCUGCAUCAUCUACAGCACAAUUUUAAGGAGAUGCGUAUAUUUCUUCUUCCCUUCAGCUGUCGAAAUGAAAGCUUAAGUUUUUUGCCACUUUUA